UUUGUUAAGCCUGUGCGACCAAAGGUUUGUGAUCAUUCUGGUUGAUACUUUGAACUCUGAUAUGGUGAUAGUCUUUGGUUGAUGCCACAUACUGUGAUGCAACAUCUAGUUUGUUGAAGACCAUUGAUGUGAUCCCUGUGACUGCACAUUCAGUGAAUUGCUUUUUCAUGCACUUUUAGCAGCGAAAUCCCAUAGUCCUAAAUCAGUAGAAUUUAGGAGCAAGAUCUUCAAUAUGAUAACCCUAACUAGUAGGGUUUCAACCAGUAAAUUUCAACUUUUAUAUUCUUCCUAACUAAUGCCAAACUUUGUCUUGAUGUGAUGUUGAUAUAGAUGUGAGAUGUGUAUUUGCUUACCUUAGGCUACUGUAUUCUAAUAUUGUAGCGUGAGUUAAGGAGAGAACUAG
rnacentral:misc_RNA from 1 species